AACUUUUGACAAUGGAUCACUUGGCUCUCGCAUCGAUGAAGAACGCAGCGAAAUGCGAUACGUAAUGUGAAUUGCCGAAUUCAGUGAAUCAUCGAAUCUUUGAACGCAUAUUGCGCUCUUUGGUAUUCUGAAGAGCAUGCUUGUUUGAGUAUCAGUAAACACCUCAACCUCCUCUUGUUUUUUCAAAAGGAGGGUGGACUUGAGCUAUCCCAACAACCUUCACCGGUAGGCGGGCGGCUUGAAAUGCAGGUGCAGCUGGACUUUUAUCUGAGCUAAAAGCAUAUCUAUUUAGUCCUCGUCAAACAGGAUUAUUACUAUUGCUGCAGCUAACAUAAAGGAUAAUUGUCCUCAUUGCUGACUGAUGCAGGAUUUUACGACACUUUAUGUGUUGUUCAACUCGAUCUCAAAUCAAGUAAGACUACCCGCUGAACUUAAGCAUAUCAAUAAGCGGAGGCU
rnacentral:misc_RNA from 1 species